CCCUCUCCCUCUCCCUCUCCCUCUCCCUCUCCUUCGCCCUCCUUCUCCUCUCUCUCUCUUUCUCUCCCCCUCCCUUGCUGGUUUGCUUGUUGGUUCAUGCCGAAAUGGCACGGGGGUGUACCAUACCGCGCUCUUGGCCUACCGGCAUUGGUGCCGAUUUUGAUACUGUGGAUCUUGAUCUAAAAUCUGAUGUAGCUUAGAAUUAUUGGCCUAGAUGUUCUGUUGUGAUGUGCAAAUAUUUGCAGAGUUUUGUUGGUCAUGGGGAUUCGGUAAAUGAAAUAAGGACUCAACCAUUGAAGCCUUCACUUGUGGUGUCUGCCAGCAAGGAUGAAUCAGUUAGGCUAUGGAAUGUGCACACUGGAAUCUGUAUACUGAUAUUUGCUGGGGCAGGAGGUCAUCGGAAUAAAGUUUUGAGUGUUGACUUCCAUCCCUCUGAUAUUUACCGCAUAGCAAGUUGUGGUAUGGACAAUACUGUUAAAAUUUGGUCGAUGAAAGAGUUCUGGACAUAUGUUGAAAAGUCAUUUAGAUGGACUGACCUUCCAUCAAAAUUUCCCACAAAAUAUGUGCAGUUUCCAGUGUUCAUAGCUUCAGUCCACUCCAACUAUGUUGACUGCACUCGGUGGCUUGGUGAUUUUGUCUUGUCAAAGAGUGUUGACAAUGAAAUUGUUUUGUGGGAGCCAAAAACCAAGGAACAAAGUCCUGGAGAGGGAGCUGUUGAUAUUCUUCAAAAAUACCCUGUGCCUGAAUGUGAUAUCUGGUUCAUCAAAUUUUCAUGUGAUUUUCACUACAAUGCAGCUGCAAUAGCUUCCACUGAGCAGGAAAUCGAGAAGGAAAGAUUUAUGUUUGGGAGCUUCAGUCCAACCCACCUGUUCUCAUAGCAAGACUAGCUCUGCUCUGUAAAUCUCCCAUAAGGCAGACAGCACUGACCUUUGAUGGAAGCACCAUCCUUAGCUGUUGUGAGGAUGGCUCCAUAUGGCGCUGGGAUGUAGUUCAGUCAUGAUGCGACCCAUUAAUUUGGAGCUGUGCAGGUCCUACUUCAACUUGAUGGUCACUUUUCAGUACUUGUACAACAGGGUUGCUGUAUCUAAAUGAUGUAGAAGUAGCUGCACUGCUUGGAUCAGAUUUUCGUCUCCAGAAAGCCCCAUCUUUUCUUCAUUUUUGUGCUUCCUGUGUUCUUGUAGCCUUCUGCUCUUGUACUCAAUGUUAUAGUGCGGCUACGGGCGAUCAGCAAGAAUCACCUUAUCCAGAAUCUGGAGGUUCACUUCAGAGAAUGCUGAGUCCUUCCUAAUCAGUCUGUUUCCACCAGCAAUUGAAUAUCUAACUUGGGGAGGACAGCAUGUGGAUGGUGUAGUUGUGGGCUAUCAUGCUGUUCAAAUUUAUGUUCUUGUAUGUUCUUGGCUUAUAGGAACUUGGCUAACAAUGAUGGUGGUGAUGAUGGAGUCUGGUUAAAUGAUUUUAUCUCAGGCUUCAGGCAAAUAUAAGGAUGAGAAGACCAAGAAAUGAUUCAAUCUAAGGCCAGUUCAUUCAAUUUUCAAAUUUGUAUGCCAAAUCUGUAACAUGCACUUAAUUUACUUUUAUCUAAUGUGAUAGAAGGGGAUAAAAUGGAUUUUCCAACAUAAGCAAUGGUUAACUUUUAUUUUUACAAUAAAACAUUGCAUAAUGUUCUUUACUA